AAAGUCGUAACAAGGUAACCGUAGGUGAACCUGCGGUUGGAUCAUUAAAAAAGUUUGGUUUAAACAAACCGACACCUUCUGUGCACCUUAAUCUGUCUUUGGUAAGUCGAGCUUUGGAUUGGAGGGCAACUUCCGUAUCCGAACUACCCUUGAUCAUAUCUUGGGUUGGCUUGCCAAACAUGUCAACAAACUUAUGUUCCCUUUAAUUUUGUAUGUGUUAAUCACUUUGAUUAAUUAAACUUAAUAACUUUUGACAACGGAUCUCUUGGCUCUC
rnacentral:misc_RNA from 1 species